rnacentral:tRNA from 1 species
ACGUCUUUAGUAUAGUGGUUAUAAUUCCAAUUUCCAAAAUUGGAGACGUGAGUUCAAAUCUUACAAGACGUG